CACAUAUCCAGGUUAAACUCCAGCCCUGCCACUUAAUAGCUGUUUGACUUAAUGCAUAAGAUGUCAUUUUUCAUCUUCAAAAUGGAAGAGACAAAAGCUACAUUUGGGAUUUCUGUAAAAUUUAAAUGUACUUACUGAGGCAAGCGGGAUAGUGCUACCAUCUUGAUCCGAACACAGAGCACACUUUUGGAGCUCGUCUUUGGAAAUGGUCUUGGGAGACUUGCUCCAUUCCUUUGCAUGCCAUCACUGGUGAGUCUUCAUUCUUGAAGGAUGUAUUUGAUUUGAAGAAGGGCCAAAUUUAAUAAGAACCUCAAUCUAGAAUGAUACGUGAUUUGGCAGAGAAUUAUUGUUUUGGGUAGAAAUAAUUAUAAAACCUUUUUUCUCUUCUAACAUUUUUCUGACUGACAUCACAAAGUCUACGAUUUUGAGUUU
rnacentral:lncRNA from 1 species